GGACUACUGGGGUUUCUAAUCCCGUUUGCUCCCCUGGCUUUCGCGCCUCAGCGUCAGAAGAGGUCCAGCAGGCCGCUUUCGCCACCGGCGUUCCUUCCGAUAUCUACGCAUUUCACCGCUCCACCGGAAGUUCCACCUGCCCCUACCUCCCUCGAGACCACCCGUAUCGGAGGCCCUUGUCCGGUUGGGCCGAACGCUUUCACCCCCGACUCGGUGACCCGCCUACGCGCCCUUUAAGCCCAGUGAAUCCGAACAACGUUUGCACGGUUCGUCUUACCGCGGCGGCUGGCAC
rnacentral:rRNA from 1 species